UACGUAGGGGGCGAGCGUUGUCCGGAGUUACUGGGCGUAAAGGGCCUGUAGGCGGUUCGGCGCGUUUCCGGUGCCAGCCUGUUGCUUAACGACGGGAGGGCCGGGAAGACGGUCGGACUGAGAGGGCCUCAGAGGGACAUCGAAUUCCGGGUGGAGUGGUGAAAUGCGUAGAGAUCCGGAGGAAGACCGAUGGCGAAGGCAGUGUCCUGGGAGGCGCCUGACGCUGAGGGGCGAAAGCCAGGGGAGCGAACGGG
rnacentral:rRNA from 1 species